UACGUAGGGAGCAAGCGUUGUCCGGAAUCAUUGGGCGUAAAGCGCGCGUAGGCGGCCUUGUAAGUCCGUUGUGAAAGUCAAAGGCUCAACCUUUGAAAGCCGAUGGAUACUGCAAGGCUAGAGUUCGGAAGAGGCGAGUGGAAUUCCUGGUGUAGCGGUGGAAUGCGCAGAUAUCAGGAGGAACACCGGUGGCGAAGGCGGCUCUCUGGACGGUGACUGACGCUGAGACGCGAAAGCGUGGGGAGCAAACAGG
rnacentral:rRNA from 1 species